rnacentral:tRNA from 1 species
GCUGGAGGUGGUGGAGGUCGCAGGCGAAAUGCUGGUGCUGGCGGCGGGCAGCGACGACGGGCUGGCGCUGUUUCGGAUCCUGCCCGAGGGCCAGCU